CACACGUGCCAUUCACACGCUAGCAUGCAUGGGACGUGCGAACAGCGCGCACGUCCCCUCCGCACGCACGCACGAAUGGAACUUGCGCACAGCGUACACGUCCUUUCCGCCUACAUGGUGCAGGAUCAGGACCUGCACGCGUAUCCUAUCAUGCGCAGGCAGGCCAUCCACGCAUCACUUCGAGCAUGGACUUGCGCCGCACAAUGUGCUCAUGCUGUCUACGUAGCAGGCCAUCACGGAUAGACCCUGUGCGCCUAAGGGUUGCGUGCGCGGUGCUCAGUGCACCAAGGCUUUACAUGUGCGUAGGCUAGCCUUCACAUAGGGCAGCAGGCCUGUGCAUCUCCAAGCUAGCUUGUAGCGCAUCGGCCCAAGCUUUGCCGCCUCGAGCAGUGCUUCGCCACUACUUUAGGCAGCAUCGCUGCCGCCAGUGGAGGAAAUUUUCCUCCCUUAUUUUUUGUGCCAAGAUUCUUUUUUUCAUAUCUCUUCAUUGAAUUUAGCCACUUGGUGCAAACCCAAUAGUUCUGAAAUUCUAUAAAUUGCCCUCCCCCUUCCCUUCCUCUCCAUACUUUUAUU
rnacentral:lncRNA from 1 species